CAUUAUUCCUGGGCUUAAAGAAGUUAAAAGCGAGCCCGUUGUGGUGGUCCAUGUCUUUAAUCCCUGGACACUGGAAGCAGAGGCAGCUGGAUCUCUGUCUUCCGAUUUGGCCUAACACACAGAAAGAAUUCCUGGACAGUAAGUUUUUGCAAAAUAAUGAAAGACCCUCAGGUCCCUAAGGGGCAUAGGGUCCCGAGGAGCCCCCGAGACUCAGAAAUCAGACCAAGAGCUGUAAAAGCAAGAGGGUUUAUUGAAAGAAUGCGCAUUCGGGUGUCAGCAAUAUCGGGAAAGCUGCACAUCCCAGCAUGGGGUGCAAGCUCCUUAUAUAGGAAACAAACAAACAAACAAACAAACAAACAAAAAAAGCCGCAGAUUAGUAUACAGGCAAGGGGCAUAAAGUGAAAGAUUACAAAGUAUGAUCUCAUGUUUGAGUGGUCACCCAGGUGUGACCUGUGUUUCUACAAAGGAAAAACCAUAGAACGUACCCUGAAAAGUCCUUGAUUGUCUGUUGGCCAGCCAGGUGUGACCCAAAGAGGUUUGUCUUGGCGAUUGCCCCUGUCUAAACCAUAGGAUGUGCCCGGGGUUGGGGGCAACUUCCUGGUAAUGGGCCACGGCCUGUGGGAAAAACUUUCUUUUUCUCUCUGUGAACUUUAAGAUCUUUUAAAACUUUUUUUUUCUCAAUAAACUAAAAUCUUUUAGUCCCCAAUUUUUUUUUUUUUUUUUUUUUUUGUUGUUGUUGUUGUUGUUGUUGUUGUUGUUGUAGUUGUUUUUGUAGUUGUUGUUGUUGUUGUGAGGUUUUAAUCUUAAAACCUAUGGUCCUUCUUAUUGCCUGAGAGCCAACUGCCUGCUGUUCAGUCGCAAGCUCAAGUUUUUUGGGUUUACUUUGAUUAUCAUCUAAAUAUAAACUUAAGGGGCUUUUCAUCGGGCCAGAGGCACCUCUGUCCAAUCUAUGCCUGACUCUCUGGACAGAGGAGAAAUAUGCAGGCUUCUAGCCCAAAUCUAUAGUUUUUGUUAAAACUCAAAGAUAUAAAUAUAUUUCUGCCGUUCUACAAAUACCAUAUAUAUAUAGCUUUUUCUGCAAUGCAGAUUUCAAUACAGCUUGGUAAUGAUAAAAUAUCUAAAACUUCUAUGUCCUAUUAUAUAAUAAAGUUCAUAUAGGUUUCAGAGGAUCAAAAGUCAUAAAGCUUGGAUCCACUUCUCACAGGUAAAAAGGACUCCAGAUAAGUACAACAUUUAUUAUCCCAUCUAUUUGCUCCCAAGGAUAGGAAUUUCUCCCUGAUCUUGGAACUCCUGUCCUUCUUGACCACUAAAAAUAUAGGCCUAAAAAUUACAAUAAGAAAAAUAAAAUUUAACUUCUGUUCCCAGUUUAAACGUGUCUCAACAGAUUUCCAAUUCUGACAGAUGAGUAUCAGUUGCUGACUACAGCCUGCUCCUAAAGACUGUGAGCCCUACACUUGCUAUGGAUGUAAACCAGUCCAAUCGAUAUGGACACCCUUUAUCUCUACAACAGAAUCUGCCAACCAAAAAAAAACUUUUUCUCUCUAUGAACUAAAAUCUUUUAAAACUUUUUUUUUCUCGAUAAACUAAAAUCUUUUAAUACAUUGAGAAACACUGUCUCAAAUAAAAUAUUAAAGAAACCUGGCCUGAAGCCCAGGGCUUACUCCUUCCCUCAUAAUUCAGAUUCCCAGCACUGCUGUUCAUUUUUGUUUGUUUGUUUGUUUGAGCCCUACACUUGCUAUGGAUGUAAACCAGUCCAAUCGAUAUGGACACCCUUUAUCUCUACAACAGAAUCUGCCAACCAAAAAAAACUUUUUCUCUCUAUGAACUAAAAUCUUUUAAAACUUUUUUUUCUUGAUAAACUAAAAUCUUUUAAUACAUUGAGAAACACUGUCUCAAAUAAAAUAUUAAAGAAACCUGGCCUGAAGCCCAGGGCUUACUCCUUCCCUCAUAAUUCAGAUUCCCAGCACUGCUGUUCAUUUUUGUUUGUUUGUUUGUUUGUUUGAUUGAUUUCAAGUGAAUUGUAGUAUGUUCAUGACUAUGUAUUUAAUUUUAUGUUUUUUAUUGUUGUUUUGUUUUUGUUUUUGAGAGAGGGGGGGCGCGAGAGAGAGAGAGCAGUCUGCCUCUGCCUCCCAAGGUUGGGAUGAAAAGCAUAUAUCACCACCUAC
rnacentral:lncRNA from 1 species